rnacentral:rRNA from 1 species
GAUGAACGCUGGCGGCGUGCCUAAUACAUGCAAGUCGAGCGAACAGACGAGGAGCUUGCUCCUCUGACGUUAGCGGCGGACGGGUGAGUAACACGUGGAUAACCUACCUAUAAGACUGGGAUAACUUCGGGAAACCGGAGCUAAUACCGGAUAAUAUAUUGAACCGCAUGGUUCAAUAGUGAAAGACGGUUUUGCUGUCACUUAUAGAUGGAUCCGCGCCGCAUUAGCUAGUUGGUAAGGUAACGGCUUACCAACGCAACGAUGCGUAGCCGACCUGAGAGGGUGAUCGGCCACACUGGAACUGAGACACGGUCCAGACUCCUACGGGAGGCAGCAGUAGGGAAUCUUCCGCAAUGGGCGAAAGCUUGACGGAGCAACGCCGCGUGAGUGAUGAAGGUCUUCGGAUCGUAAAACUCUGUUAUUAGGGAAGAACAAAUGUGUAAGUAACUAUGCACGUCUUGACGGUACCUAAUCAGAAAGCCACGGCUAACUACGUG